rnacentral:misc_RNA from 1 species
GUUGAGAUCAUCAAGAUGCCAAGGGAGGGAAGGUCUUACAGAAGAAGAUCACGUUCGCGAAGUGAUUCUCGUGAGCGGGAGAGAAAAAGAAGAAGUCGCUCCAGAAGUAGACCAAGAAGAUCCAGGUCUCGAGAUCGACCACGAAGAUCCAGAUCAAGAGAAAGGAAGCGUUCUCGAUCUCGUGAAAGAAGAAGAUCAAGGUCUAGGGAAAGAAGAAGGUCAAGGUCACGGGACAGGAGAAGGUCUAAGAGAUCUCGAUCAAGAGAUAGGAAAAAGUCUAGAUCCAAAACGCCAGAUAAGAAGAAGCGCAGUGUUUCACCAGAGGCCAAGAAACUGACACAUAGAGAGGGAGAGAUCACCGUUAAAGAUGAACCCCUUGACAAGGAGGAAGAACAGAAAAGAUUGGAGAUGGAGAUGCAGAAGAGGCGAGAGCGAAUCGAGCACUGGCGAGCGGAGCGGAAGAAGAAACAGGAGUUGAUCCCGAUCAACAUCGCCCCGGUCAGUAAGAAGUGGUCACUGGAGGAUGAAGACGAUGAUGAUGAAGAGGAGGUUCAGGAGAAGAGCGAGGAGAAUGGUGAUGAAGUGGACCCCCUGGAUGCCUACAUGCAGGACAUCACUUCUGAGGUCAAACCGAAAGACAAAGAGAAACCAAAUGGGGAGGGAUUGCAGAGUACAGGAAAAGUGACCAUCAUCACCGCUGUGGCCAGGAAGAAGGUUCAGCCGGAGAAAGAUAAAGGGGAGCUGAUGGAGAAUAAUGUGGACCUGAUGGAGUACUCAUCAGAGGAAGAAGAGGAAGAUUUGGAGUCCACCAUGUUGAACAUGAACAAGAAGAAAAAGGACACCAUUGUGGUGAACCACGACAAGAUCUACUAUGCUUCAUUCAGAAAGAACUUCUAUGUCGAGGUUCCUGAAAUUGCCAGGAUGACCACUGAAGAGGUGGAGGCGUACAGAACUGAACUGGAAGGAAUCAAGGUCCGAGGAAAGAACUGUCCCAAACCUAUCAAGUCCUGGGCCCAGUGUGGCUGCAGCAAGAAAGUUAUGGAUGUCUUUAGAAAAAACAGUUUUGAGAAGCCAACUCCAAUCCAAAGUCAGGCGAUUCCUGCCAUCAUGUCGGGCAGGGACCUAAUAGGAAUCGCCAAGACAGGAAGUGGGAAAACCCUGGCCUUCCUGAUCCCGCUGUUCCGCCACAUAAUGGAUCAGCCUCCCCUGGAUGAAAAUGAUGGACCGAUAGCCAUCAUAAUGACCCCCACCAGAGAACUUGCCAUGCAGAUAACUUCAGAGUGUAAGAAGUUUACCAAACCUCUGGGACUGAAGGCUGUGUGUGUGUACGGGGGAACAGGAAUAUCAGAGCAGAUCGCGGAGUUAAAGCGCGGCUGUGAAAUCAUCGUGUGUACCCCAGGGCGGAUGAUUGACAUGUUGUCCGCCAAUAACGGAUAGGAGAACUCUUGUAACAGUUUAUUUCAGACCAAUUGUCAAAUGACGUUCACCUCAACAGUGGAUUUGUCGCCAUGGAGCUCAGUGUUACUAUGGUCGAGUGACCAACUUACGGAGGUGUACAUAUGUUGUGCUUGAUGAAGCUGAUAGAAUGUUUGACAUGGGCUUUGAACCACAGGUGACUAAGAUAGUGGACAGUAUACGACCUGACAGACAGACCGUCAUGUUCUCGGCCACCUUUCCCCGCCAGAUGGAGGCUCUAGCUAGGAAGAUUCUACAAAAGCCAAUCGAAGUGCAGGUUGGAGGUCGCAGCGUUGUCUGUAGAGACGUUGAUCAGAGUGUGAUCGUGAUAGAUGAAGACAAGAAGUUUCUGAAGCUGCUGGAGUUACUGGGGCUGUACCAGGAGAAGGGCAGCGUCCUGGUGUUCGUUGACAAGCAGGAGCAUGCGGACGAGUUGAUGAAGGAGUUAAUGACCCACUCCUACCCCUGCAUGUCGCUCCACGGCGGCAUCGACCAGUACGACAGGGACAGCAUCAUCGUCGACUUCAAGAAUGGUAACGUCAAACUGCUGGUAGCGACCUCUGUGGCGGCCCGGGGGCUGGACGUCAAGCACCUUAUCCUGGUGGUCAACUACGACUGUCCAAACCACUACGAGGACUACGUCCACAGAUGUGGACGUACAGGAAGAGCUGGGAACAAGGGUUAUGCCUUUACUUUUAUAACUCCUGAACAAGAGAGGUAUGCAGGGGACAUAAUCAAGGCCCUUGAACUGUCGGGAGCCACUGUGAAUGCAGACCUGGAAAAGCUGUGGAAUGACUACAAGGAGAGAGCAAAGGCUGAGGGUAAAACAGUGAAAAGUUCCAGUGGCUUCCUUGGGAAAGGAUUCAAGUUUGAUGAAACAGAGGCACAGCUGGCCAAUGAGAGAAAGAAGCUACAGAAAGCUGCCCUCGGACUUCAGGACUCGGAUGAUGAGGACACUGGUGUCGAUAUUGAUCAGCAGAUUGAGGACAUGUUUGCCAGCGUGAAGCGAGUCACAGACAUAGCUAAACCUCAGGUUAUCUCAAACCCCAUGGCGGGGAUCGGUGCUCUUCCCACAGGGCAGUCCAAUCAACAGAAACUGGCACUUGCCAAGCAACUCGCUGCCAAAAUCAACAUGGCCAAGAAAAUUGGUCCAGAUGCAAGGGACAUCACUCAGCAAGCUGCUAAGUUUAUACUGUCUGAUGAAGGAUUUGCACCAAAAGUUGCAUCAAAGACAAUAGCAGAACAAACGGCAGAGAAGAUUAACGCCAAGCUAGGCUACCGACCUCCCUCUGAAGAUGAAGAGGGUGAAAACAGUAACGCGGAGACGUUCAAACGUUACGAAGAGGAACUGGAAAUAAACGACUUCCCACAAACAGCCCGAUGGAAGGUCACCUCAAAGGAGGCCCUGGCACAGAUCUGUGAGUACUCGGAGGCUGGUAUCACCGUGAGGGGCACCUACUUCCCACCCAACAAGGAGCCAAAGGAGGGCGAGAGGAAGCUGUACCUGGCCAUUGAGGCCACCAGUGACAUGGCCAUACAGAAAGCUAAGAAGGAAAUCACACGCCUCAUCAAGGAUGAACUUAUACGACUGCAAAACUCCUACCAACCAAUCAACAAAGGGCGAUACAAGGUUUUGUAGGGAGAGUGUGAAGAGUCAAUGUUCGGGGGAGGGGCAGUUAUCAUUGGAGACCAAAGCCGUGAACUGUGUGAUAGCAGCCAAGUGUGGAUUAUAUUUUAUAUUAGUCUGUGUUGUCUAAGAAAUAAAUACAGAAUCAACU